rnacentral:rRNA from 1 species
UGGGGAAUAUUGCGCAAUGGGGGAAACCCUGACGCAGCGACGCCGCGUGAGGGAUGAAGGCCUUCGGGUUGUAAACCUUUUUCGCUCAUGGUCAAGCCGCAGCUUUGGGUUGUGGUGAGGGUAGUGGGUAAAGAAGCGCCGGCUAACUACGUGCCAGCAGCCGCGGUAAUACGUAGGGCGCGAGCGUUGUCCGGAAUUAUUGGGCGUAAAGGGCUUGUAGGCGGUUGGCCGCGUCUGCCGUGAAAUCCUCUGGCUUAACUGGGGGCGUGCGGUGGGUACGGGUUGACUUGAGUGCGGUAGGGGAGACUGGAAUUCCUGGUGUAGCGGUGGAAUGCGCAGAUAUCAGGAGGAACACCGGUGGCGAAGGCGGGUCUCUGGGCCGUUACUGACGCUGAGGAGCGAAAGCGUGGGGAGCGAACAGG